GGGGUUGUAACUCAGUGGUAGAGUGCUUGCCUAGCAUGCAUGAGUCCUGGGUUCAAUCCUCAGCACCACA
rnacentral:tRNA from 1 species